rnacentral:lncRNA from 1 species
UACAUGUGUACAUUUUGUAUAUCCUCUCUCUCAGUGUCAAUGGACAGUGGCUCUCUGUUGAUGUCUGAGAUUGUGGAUAUUCCAGAUGACAGCUCCCCAUCUGAGGACUCCUGCCUCAUGGAAGUGGGUGUUGGUGUGCGUGCACGGCCACGGGGGGGCAGCGAGGGAGGGGAGGGGGGAGAGUACGCCAGCCUCCGUUCUUUCACACAACAUCCUGAGGGAAUGGUAGCUCCUUCCGGAAGACGUUGUUUCAGAGGCGAGAGAUCGAACUCCUGCUCCUCUCCGAGCACGUACCACACCUCUACCUACAGGUCUCCAGUGUUGAGGCGUCAAGCUCUGUUGGCAAGUAGCUGCUCUCAGUUGGAGUUCCUAGCAGGAUCUCAGCAUUCCUCCAUCCCAGAAAUCCGAGUUCGGCCCUGCACACCUUCCCGACGGGACUCCUCAUCUGAAUUUAGUAACCCACCUACCACAGCCCCAACAGGUCCUGCUCAAGACCGGCCGGACCAUACAGUACUUCCGCGGCCAGGUUUACAUGAGCAAAUUGGACGUGAUAGAAAAGACAGCAACAGCUUCUUACCUCUCAUGAGGUCACACAGUGAACCAGGACUCAGCUCUUCAACUGACACAGGUGAUUUCAGUCUCUCAGGAGGCAAUAAAGGAGUCCGUGAGGGGGGAUCGCAGACCUCAUCAGAAACAGGGGUAUUGUCUGGAGCUGGUUUGCUGCCUCGCUCCUCUCUGGCACUUCCUGCUUCCCUGCCCAGAAAAGACAGCAUUAAGGCUAUAAGUAGCCGGUUGCCCUCAAAACAAGUCCCAGCCACCUCGAUGCGUUUACCCAAAGACUGUGCACGCUCACUUGGAGACCUCAAGGUCACCAAAGUUUUAGUGCAACGUUUCCUGCAGAGAUCCAAACGUAACUUAGCCCCUGCAACUGAGCAUACCGGAAACUGUACUCAGGGGCCUAAAAGGAGGACAGCAGGUGAUGGAAGUCUGCCAUUAGAACAGGUACUUCGUAACUCUCUGGGGGCCAACAGGGGGCAGCAGCAGCAGCACGUCCACCACUACUGCCGUGGACACCAUCACUCCUAUAGUGACAGUCGCCAUAAUGCCCGCCGCCAUGAUGACGACCCUGUAAGGGCCGGGGGAAUCCACUUGCGUAGCUGCGGAGAUCUCAGCUCAACAUCCGUCGCAUCACUGCGCAGAAUCCACCCACCGUCACAAGAAUCAUCAGGAGCUCUUUACUCAGAAUCUGCCCUCUGAAAUGGGGCGAGGGACUCUGGAAUAAAUCACAGCUGGAUUCAGGAGAGGGGGCAGAGAAAAUCUGAGAAAAGAAUAACAGGUUUGAGAUGAGGAAUUUAUCCUGCUGAAGGGAUGAUGUGAAGCAUGCUGUUUGAAAAACAGUAUAUGUACCUUCGGUGAAGAUUUUAGCUGUUCUUACCAUAAUAAGACCGAACACUACACCCGAUAUAACAGAGCUUAACCCAUCAGACCCUCUGCUUUCUGUGCCUGACAAACUCCGGUCUUUCUGUUUUGUAUUUCCAUGUAUUUUUUGCUCCAUCUAGUGCUUUUUUCUCGCUCACUGUUUACAUGGAUGUGGAAAGAAUGCAGCACCUCUGACACUGUUCCUGGUCUUCACAGCUCAUUACAAUGCACUCAUGCAACUACAAACAUACAACCCUAUGUUUGGCUGUAACUAUGUUGUGAACUUGGGGGAAUUGAAAGGAAUAAUUAAAGGAAUAAAUUAAAGGAUUUAAAUGGAUUUAAGGGAAUACGCAAAAAAAAAAGAACAGUAAAAGAAGCAGGA